CGUUUCUGGGGUUAUUCCCACAUUUCUGGAGGUCAUUCCCACAUUCCUGGGAUCGGCCCCGGGUUUUUGGGGGUUAUUCCCACAUUUCUGGGGGUUGUUCCCGCAUUUCUGGGGUUAUUCCCGGUUUUCUGGGGGUCAUUCCCACAUUUCUGGGGGCUGUUCCCGGUUUUCUGGGGGUUAUUCCCACAUUUCUGAGGGUUGUUUCCAGUUUUUUUGGGGUUGUUCCCGGUUUUCUGGGGUUAUUCCCACAUUUCUGGGGGGUUUUCCCACAUUUCUGGGGGUCAUUCCCGGUUUUUUGGGGGUUGUUCCUGGUUUCUGGGGGUUAUUCCCGCAUUUCGGGGGUUAUUCCCGCAUUUCUGGGGUUUUUUCCCGGUUUUCUGGGGUUAUUCCCAGUUUUUUGGGGGUCGUUCCCGCUUUUCCGGGGGUUAUUCCCAGAUUUCUGGGGGUUAUUCCCAGUUUUCCAGGGGUUGCUCUCAGUUUCCCGGGGAUUAUUCCCAGUUUCCCGGGGAUUAUUCCCAGUUUCCCGGGGGUCAUUCCCGGUUUCCCGGGGGUCGUUGGCGCUUCUGGAAUUGCGGCUGGAAGCUGUGGGAAGUGCGGGAUUCCCAGCAGGGAAUUCCCGGCGCGUCCCGGAGCCGCUGGAAUGGACUUGGACGCUCCGGAGCUCCGGGAAAAGCUCCGGAAUCCCGGGAAAAGCUCCGGCACCGAGGAUCUUGAUGGAUAUUUAUGGAUAUUUACGGAUAUUUACGGAUAUUUAUUUAUGGAAUUGGGGCCAGUGCAAUAUCCGGGAUUUUCCUACUUCCGGGCAGCUUUUCCAUGGAUUUUUCCCUUCCCUCAAAAUACAAACGAAUCCCAAA